UACAGUCAAAUCAUACUGAAAACACCAGUCCUUAUUCAAUCACCAAAGUUAAGAGGUGUCAUGCCUGGUUAUUACUUCGAUGGGGGACUGCUUGGGAAUACCAGGGACUGUC